rnacentral:rRNA from 1 species
GACGAACGCUGGCGGCGUGCUUAACACAUGCAAGUCGAACGGUGAAGCGCCUUCCUUUUUGGUGGGUGUGGAUGAGUGGCGAACGGGUGAGUAACACGUGAGUAACCUGCCCCCUUCUUCUGGAUAACCGCAUGAAAGUGUGGCUAAUACGGGAUAUUCUGGGUCUGUCGCAUGAUGGGUCUGGGAAAGAUAUUGUUUCGGUGGGGGAUGGGCUCGCGGCCUAUCAGCUGGUUGGUGGGGUGAUGGCCUACCAAGGCGGUGGAGGGUAGCCGGCCUGAGAGGGUGAGCGGCACCGCUGGGACUGCGACGCGGGCCAGCCGCGUACGGGAUGGCGCAGUGGGGGAUAGUGUGCUCCGGCCGCACGCCGGAUGGGGUGGCGCCCUGCGGGGGGUGAAGGUCUUCGGGUAGUAAACCACGUCUGCCUGGUUUGUGGCUGGGUUGACGGUAACUGGUAAAGAAGCGCCGGCUAACUACGUG